ensembl:snoRNA SNORA73 Small nucleolar RNA SNORA73 family
CCAACGUGGACAUCCUGUGAGAUGGCUCUCAUGUGGCUCUGUCCGUGUGGCAUAAGGGAGCGCAGCACUUCGGUGCCAUGACGUACAGUCCCGUUCCAUGACGUUGGAUAGCAAGCUUGUCCCCGGCCUCUGUUGGGGUGUGUUUCCCCUGUGGUUUUUUUUUUUUUUUUUUGGGGGGGGGGGCUUUU